rnacentral:rRNA from 1 species
UACGGGGGGGGUAAGCGUUGUUCGGAAUUACUGGGCGUAAAGGGCUCGUAGGCGGCCAACUAAGUCGGACGUGAAAUCCCUCAGCUUAACUGGGGAACUGCGUCUGAUACUGGAUGGCUUGGAUUUGGGAGAGGGAUGCGGAAUUCCAGGUGUAGCGGUGAAAUGCGUAGAUAUCAGGAAGAACACCCGUGGCGAAAGCGGCUCUCUGGAACGGUACUGACGCUGAGACGCGAAAGCGUGGGGAGCGAACAGG